GCCCCCAUGGCACAGCUGGAUAGCGCAGUCUCCUCCUAAGGGACAGGUCGUAGGUUCGAAUCCUACUGGGGGCGCCA
rnacentral:tRNA from 1 species